UGGGGGGGGGCCCCUUUGCUCCCCUCUAAUAACUGCUGUUAUUGGGGGCUUUUCAGACAGGAGGGGGGUUUCUGCCAACGGCACUGACGGUUACUUUCUGCUGGGAGCCCCAGAUAAUCAUAAAAAUGUGGGUAUUUCUGGGAGCCCCGUAGAACCCAUCUUAUAAUGAGAAUAAGACACGCUGUUUUGACGAGAUGUGAACAGAAGACCAAUUUUUGUGUUGACAGGAGUGAAGAUUUGUGAUGAAACUUAUCAUCAGCCCAGCGAGUGGAUCAUUAGUUCUCGUCAAAGCGGCAAGGAACUGCAGAUAUAUUUUAUGGCAUGCUCAGAAGACAAACAUACGCAUUUAUAUGUCACUUGUUGCAAUAUAAAUGCUAACUUGUACUUCUUUCAAAACUUUUAAUGAAUUGUAUACAUUGCUGAAGAUUUAUAGCAAGAAACGAAUGACUCAAAAUGUUGCUUUAACAUAUUUGUCACUUUGGCAAGAGCACAAAAAAAA